rnacentral:misc_RNA from 1 species
AACGCACAUUGCGCCCCUUGGUAUUCCAUGGGGCAUGCCUGUUCGAGCGUCAUUUUGUACCCUCAAGCUUUGCUUGGUGAUGGGUGUUUGUUCCGCUGCAACGCGUGAACUCGCCUCAAAUCAAUUGGCAGCCGGCAAUCUGGUGUUUGAGCGCAGCACAUUUUGCGCUCUUCGCUGUGUAUUGCGGGCGUCCAUGAAGCCUAUAUUUUCACGCUUGACCUCGGAUCAGGUAGGGAUACCCGCUGAACUUAA